rnacentral:rRNA from 1 species
AGAGUUUGAUCCUGGCUCAGAACGUACGCUGGCGGCACGCCUAACACAUGCAAGUCGAACGAAGUAGCAAUACUUAGUGGCAGACGGGUGAGUAACAUGUGGGUAUCUACCCUUUGGCCUGGAAUAACACGAGGAAACUUGUGCUAAUACCGGAUAAGUCUUUACGGAGAAAGCUUUAUGCACCAUUGGAUGAGCCCGCACUUGAUUAGUUUGUUGGUAGGGUAAUGGUCUACCAAGACUAUGAUCAAUAGCUGAUUUGAGAGGAUGAUCAGCCACAUUGGGACUGAGACACGGCCCAAACUCCUACGGGAGGCAGCAGUGGGGAAUCUUGCACAAUGGAGGAAACUCUGAUGCAGCGAUGCCGCGUGAGUGAAGAAGGCCUUUGGGUUGUAAAGCUCUUUCGUCGGGGAAGAAAAUGACUGUACCCGAAUAAGAAGGUCCGGCUAACUUCGUGCCAGCAGCCGCGGUAAUACGAAGGGACCUAGCGUAGUUCGGAAUUACUGGGCUUAAAGAGUUCGUAGGUGGUUGAAAAAGUUGGUGGUGAAAUCCCAGAGCUUAACUCUGGAACUGCCAUCAAAACUUUUCAGCUAGAGUAUGAUAGAGGAAAGCAGAAUUUCUAGUGUAGAGGUGAAAUUCGUAGAUAUUAGAAAGAAUACCAAUUGCGAAGGCAGCUUUCUGGAUCAUUACUGACACUGAGGAACGAAAGCAUGGGUAGCGAAGAGGAUUAGAUACCCUCGUAGUCCAUGCCGUAAACGAUGUGUGUUAGACGUUGGAAAUUUAUUU